CAAUCAACCUCUAACUUAUCCAAACACUUGUUCUAACCUUUUAGAACAUGUAGGAGUGAUCCACACACCCUUCCACAUACUCGAACUCCGCAAUUUGCAAAAGUUCAGUGUAUUACAUUCACCCCUCCUAAAAAGAAGUUUCGUCCGCGAAACUUGUAAACACUUACCUCACGAUUCCAUCGAGAAUAGAUAGGGAUAAUGCUCUUGCAUUGCACUCUCCAGUUCCCAAGUGGCUUCCCGUUCCUCGUGAUUACUCCAAAGGAUCUUCACGUAGGGUAUUUCGCGAUUUCGAAGCCUUUUUACUUCCCGAGCUAG
rnacentral:lncRNA from 1 species